UUGAACCGGCCGAGUGUGGGUUU
rnacentral:siRNA from 1 species